CCCUUAGAUGUUCUGGGCCGCACGCGUGCUACACUGAGUGGAUCAGCGGGUCAGGUUGCGCGAAAGUGUUUCCUAAUCUUUAAAUCCGCUCGUGAUGGGGAUUGACGGUUGCAAUUUUCCGUCAUGAACGAGGAAUACCUUGUAAGCGCGGGUCAUCAUCCCGCGCUGAAUACGUCCCUGCCCUUUGUACACACCGCCCGUCGCUCCUACCGAUUGAGUGGUCCGGUGAGGCUUUGGGAUCUGAGCGGAAAGAGCGUUUCGCUGUUUCUGCCCGGAAAACUCAGUCGAACCUUAUCAUUUAUAGGAAGGAGAAGUCGUAACA
rnacentral:rRNA from 1 species